rnacentral:lncRNA from 1 species
CUUGGAGCUAAAGGAGUUUCCUGCAUGGAGAGAUCCUGAAAACAAGUUGAAACCAAUGCACAGGAAAGCAGAGAGAUGGUGCAUGUCUUCGCCUCUGAAGCGCCUCCUAGUGCCGACGUCUUCUAGUGCGAUCACUCCGGACCAGACAAAAGGCAAGGUCAAGUACUGCUUUUGAGGAUGAGAGAUGAAGCUGUAGAAGAAGGGAUGCCUUUGAGAUUCUCAACAAAAUCAGUAUCAAGUGAGAUAUUAUGAAGUAUUACACAGUUGGAGGAAAUUGUGUUCUUGAAGAUAGUGUAAAAGAUCUGAAGUAAUAAAUUCAAUAGGGAUUUUAUAGUGAAUUUCA